rnacentral:rRNA from 1 species
GUGGGGAAUCUUCCGCAAUGGACGAAAGUCUGACGGAGCAACGCCGCGUGAACGAUGACGGCCUUCGGGUUGUAAAGUUCUGUUAUACGGGACGAAUGGUACGACGGCCAAUACCCGUCGUAAGUGACGGUACCGUAAGAGAAAGCCACGGCUAACUACGUGCCAGCAGCCGCGGUAAUACGUAGGUGGCAAGCGUUGUCCGGAAUUAUUGGGCGUAAAGGGCGCGCAGGCGGCGUCGUAAGUCGGUCUUAAAAGUGCGGGGCUUAACCCCGUGAGGGGACCGAAACUGCGAUGCUAGAGUAUCGGAGAGGAAAGCGGAAUUCCUAGUGUAGCGGUGAAAUGCGUAGAUAUUAGGAGGAACACCAGUGGCGAAAGCGGCUUUCUGGACGACAACUGACGCUGAGGCGCGAAAGCCAGGGGAGCAAACGGGAUUAGAAACCCCGGUAGUCC